GACGAACGCUGGCGGCGUGCCUAAUACAUGCAAGUCGAGCGCAGGAAACUGACGGAACUCUUCGGAGGGAAGGCAGCGGAAUGAGCGGCGGACGGGUGAGUAACACGUAAGGAACCUGCCUCAAGGAUUGGGAUAACUCCGAGAAAUCGGAGCUAAUACCGGAUAGUUCAUCGGACCGCAUGGUCCGCUGAUGAAAGGCGCUCCGGCGUCACCUUGAGAUGGCCUUGCGGUGCAUUAGCUAGUUGGUGGGGUAACGGCCCACCAAGGCGACGAUGCAUAGCCGACCUGAGAGGGUGAUCGGCCACACUGGGACUGAGACACGGCCCAGACUCCUACGGGAGGCAGCAGUAGGGAAUCUUCCACAAUGGACGAAAGUCUGAUGGAGCAACGCCGCGUGAGUGAUGAAGGUUUUCGGAUCGUAAAACUCUGUUGUAAGGGAAGAACACGUACGAGAGGGAAUGCUCGUACCUUGACGGUACCUUACGAGAAAGCCACGGCUAACUACGUGCCAGCCGCCGCCGUAA
rnacentral:rRNA from 1 species